UAGCCGCUAUUGUUACUGCUACUUUGCCUCCGGCGGCGUCAAUGGGGAGUUGACGUCAUAUGAUAUGUAUGUCCGGCCUCCCCUGGCUGCUGUGCCGUCGACGACGGCAACGUAUGUGCACCAGACCCUAUAUAGCUCCAGAUUUGGAUCUACACCCAGAUCCAGAUCCCAGAUCCAGGCCUAGGUCCAGGUUUAUGUUUCAAUCUGAUGCAAGAUCCAGGCCCGCCGUGGUUUCACAACUUGCCGAUAAGCAAGCAAGCUAGCUGGGCAACGUAGCCAGUUGCGCUGCUAAUAAGCUGGCGGCAUAGGCGAGAUAGUAACUUCUAUGCUGUUGUGGAAAGCAAAAGCUACGACCUUGCACCUUAGCUACUUGGUCACAUACCUCGUACAAUACUUAUAAACCUGCUUAUUAAUCCUCGUCCCCAAGCAGUUCGGCGGGCAGGGGAGGGCGUGCGCGUGCGCGUGGGCGUGUAGAUGAUAAAUACAUCGAUACGCCGCAGCUGCAAAUGCAGCAAGUGCGUACGUGCGCGUUUUACGUACUGGCCGUACGUAUGCGAUGAUAGUGCCUGCUGCAGGCUUGCUAGCAUGUUUGCACAUGUUUUUGAACCAGCUUCUCGCCGCUCGAGGAGGGAUAUGUGGCUAUGUGGCUAUGUAGGUGCGCGCACUCGGAGGUGUAGCGUUAUCUCGUAUAAUGAGCUGUUCAACAAUGCUCUGACACACCUGCUAGGCACAUCUAUCUAUACAUAUCUGUACAUAAGGAUUAUUUCUAUAUGAGUUAGUUGCCAUGCGAAUAUAUGUAUUUUGUUUCUCGCCCGCGCUCUCGCACUCUCUCGGCACACUUGCCUUCUCUUAAUCUCUCGCGAUCGAUCUCUUGCACGGGCGCAAGCUGCCGCUGGCGGAGUAUCGAUCCCCGUGGUUAAGUGAGUGCGUGGGUGCGGGAGUAUGCAUUCAUGCGAUGUCAGGCUGGCAGCAGAGGAUGGCUUCGGGCAAUAGACGAGAAUUCAUCAGUGAGGACACGGUCUUGCCAGAUGAGUCCACCGUACAUCAGCUCGUAAAGGAUUCAUUCUGUCGGACGGGCGUACUUCAUACUUCGUUUCGUACAUGGGUGUACGACAGGGUGUUACCAAGUGCACAGCUCGAAAUGUGCGCGUUGGGGCGGUUCGAAGCACAGGGGAGGGUUUCGGUAGAUAGCUAGGCGAAGCGGAGCGCGCGAGGACCCCAGCGGCGGCUGCCUUUGUCCGGAACAACAUAUACGUUUCUGCGGCUAAGGGAGCGAUGACCCCCAACCCUUAUCGCGAGAUCCCUUAACACAUGCUUCUCCGCAGUUCAUGGUCCCAGAACAAUCUUUCCUUUUCCUUUCGUUCUUCUUUUUUUCCUUAUGUAAGCGUAUGCGUAUGCAUGUAUGUAUGUGUGUAUGUCUGCGUGUUAUGAUGUAUGAUGGGUUAUUACAGUGGACUCGUGAACAGAUCGCCGGCGGUGCUGUGUCUGUUAUGCCCAUAUUUCCAAUAUCGUUCGGUGGGGGGGAGAGUAGGUGUGGCAAGGCUUGCAAAAGCAAGGACGUAGUAAGGUACAUGUAUGUUGUUGACGGGGGGUGUUACACUGUGGGCUUCUCACCCCGAGAAAGGACGAGCACCGGGGGCCCUGACCGGGGCCGAAACACAGCCACACAUGCUGUUAUUGUUAUUGUUGUUGUUGUUAUUGUUGUUGUUGUUGUUGCUGCUGUUACAGAGUGGAGGCUUCUGGGCCGAUUGAACACAUUUGUAUUGACAACAUAGGAUUGAACACCGUGCAACACCAUCUACCAUUACCACACUGCACUACGCCAUACAAACUGCAAGUCCAAGGCGGUUGAUUCUGCCUUCGCGCAACCAUUGCCCCCCGGAGAUCCCGGGAUCGAGACCUGUCAGGGCGGAGGGUAUAGCGCCCCUAGUUGAUGGACGGUGGUGACCUGGUAUAAAUUUAACCUACGAGCCGACCAGUAUUAGUGUUGGGCUGCUGUCGACCCGGCAGAUUCCGUUGGAUGCUGGUGGUGAGUGCGGAACCUGAGCGAUCCACUGAGAAGUUGACUAGGGUGACUGGAUGAGGGUGCCCCGAAAUACCGUGGAAGGCAGGGUUUCGCAGGGUAGCUGCCACGGGUGAAGAUAUAACCCCCCUGUUUCACACAUCAUGGGAGGAAUAUAUUCAAGGAAAUGCUUUGAACAGACCUGUAAGGAUAAUUUCUUCCUUUUUUGGCGUAGAUAUUAUGAAUCUUAAGGUCCAAGAUUAGGCAUGAAGAUACCUAUUAUACUAAUCCUAAUGGCUGGCAAAAAUCGCUGAUCAAAAUUGAGAGAAAUGAGAGAAAAGCCAGAAAACUUGAGGGAAUUCCAGUUAGAGCAUGAUUAAUCCUAGCAAAAGUAAGACUAUAUCAUUAAUUUGUGCAGGUAAAACUGUAGGUUUUCUGAGUUAUAUGGGAGAAAGCCAAGGUUUCUGUGUAUUUGCCGAGAGCGUACUGGGUUGGAUGCCGUUGGUGCGUACGGCUGGACCGUACAAGGCUAGAGUAAGCCCCAGGAGUGCAAAUUUAAUAUAACCAUUUGCAUGUAGGAAAUGUUUCUUGCCAACGCAGCAUGCAUGCAGGCAGGCAGAGGCAAAGGCAGGCUUAGCAGGCAGGCAGGCUGGCAUCAACCCCAGGGCGGGAGAAGCGGGGCCGCCCGCACAAGGUGAUGUAUGGUACGACAAGUAACGGGAUACGAAAACAGGUGCAAAAGGCUGCCAAUGUUUAAGUUUGCAAUGACGGAUGGUCUAGCCUUGCCAGGAUGAUUUUGUGAUAAGCGACGAGAGGAUGUAAUGUUGGAGUUACGGGCAACGCGAGGCAAGAGGGGGGGACCUGCGCGCGUCGCGUGACGCACUGUCAAGGUGGUGGUGGUAGUAAUGAUGGUGGUAGUAGUAAUAGUGGUGGUAGUAAUGGUUGUGGCGGUGGGUUGCGAGUACUGCGUAGCGGUGCAUGAGGUAAGAGGAUGCUCUAGUCGUCUAGCAGGGAGGAGCAGCAGCGGCAGCCAUACCAUACGUAGACCGACUGAGGCCGCCGUGCAAUAGUAGGGUGCGUAUAGUAGGGUGCGUAUUAUUGGAUCAAAAGGUGCAGAAGAACGAAAUGGAUUCAUGUGCAGUUCAGUUCAUUCAGCCUCAGCUUGGGGAGAUUCGAAGCUGCUUACGCGAGCAUGCAGUCUUGGCGCAGGAAGCCGGUUAAGAACAUCGCCAGAACAUCGCCAGAACAUCGCCCGUUAAGAAACUUCGCCAUAACUCGUUAUCAUAGCUCAAUUUCUACAUAAUGUCGAAUGUCAUGAUGCAGGAUAUGAAAAAAUGCGACCCGUAUUACUGCAUCCGUAUUACAGCACUAUGUUCAACAAUUGUAGCUCCGAACAACGACAUGUGUGUGUGUGGUUGUUACAGUGGGCUCCAGACUCACUAAGAGUAGAGCCAUCGGGCCAGCUGGCCGUGCACUGCACUAGAGACUAAUAUACAAUUUAGACAACAACCACCCAGAUGAGACAAGUAAACGCAAUGUUGGGGCUUACGCCCCUGCCUGACCAGUUAACAUCCUGUACGGACGACGCCCGAAGUACAAGUUUGGUAAUCUUUCUUGAACUACAUCACUGCAGUGAAAGGGACUCCUACCAUCGCAUUGUGACUGUGCUACCUGCGGGCUGACAUAGACGUGCGGCGAAGUUCAAGGAAAGCCCUGGAAACAAAAACUUUAGGAUACUUAACCCGUUUCACAUGACUUUGGGUCCCUUCCAGCAUAAGUUUAGCACAGAGGUGCUAGUUGUGGGUGCAGGAGCGUCCGGCCUUACCGUCGCUGCGGCCUGCCUUGCUUCAGGAUGCGACGUAGUUGUUUUGGAGCAAGAGCCUCAUGUUGGCGGCUGGUCUAACAAAGCUCCGAAAGAAGCUUUAAUUGGUAAGAAUCUAUGUAUGGUUGUUAGCCCAGUUUCCCUAAGUCGCGUCGUGCAACUGGUUAGGUUAACAGUUUAAUCCUCAAUUCGCCGGUUUAGCAGGUGCGCCGGUGGCGCAAACGUUAUCGGACCCCAGCUUCAAGACACGUUUACCACACAAUCCAUCGGUAGGGUGCUAGACUUUGAAACACAAACUGCGUUUCUUAUUUCAGAAAGCUGGGCGGGCGCUUCUGAAGGCUUGAAGUUUCAGCGCAGCAGUAGCUUCGCAAAUUAUAUGAGCUAAAAUAUACUUGGAAUUUGCAGGUAAAAGAUGUGAGCUCGUACUUGACGGCCUUUUCCGCCCACCACGACCUCAUCGGCCAUAUACGCCUGCGUUGCCGGCUAGUACAUUUGACUAAUAAAACGGACAGCUUGGAAAUUCGCUGGCACGCAAUCUGUGAGGACCUCCCGUCGGGGCAGCUCUUCUCGGCUCACGCAAAUUUUGUGGUGCUGUGUACCGGCCACGACUUGCCGCCUGAAGCACGCCAUUCCAAAGUCCUAGGACAGGUGAGGAGUGAAGCCACCGACGAUGUAGGGGAUGGGGUGUGUGGUUUGGGCAUGGCGGCAGCGUGCUGCCUAGGCGGUUGGCGCCGAGUGGUGCCUUGCCCUACUGUACUGCGCUAUCUGCUCAAACACCUGGCUAUGACUACCGCCGCUGCUGCUGCUGCUGCUGCUGAGGCCCUUUACGGCGAACCUGGGAAUAUCCGCUUUCAUAUUAUCUGCCUUCUUUUAUACAUCUCCACCUCACGUGCGUGCCAUCUGUGGGCCUCGCAAUCGACAACCCAAGAACAUCUCCAAUCCGGCAUGACCCUGGCCCUGCACUGCGCAGAACCAGCGGUGGAAUGAAAAGGAAAAGAAAAAUCAGGAGACAUAAUUAUAUUGCUAGAGAGUGCUAGAGAGGACCUAGUCCGAUUCAGAUGUUCGUGUCCCGGUGUGACCCCGCCGUGGGACGCCCAAGGUCGCUGUAACGUCUUCUCCUCCCUCUCACCACAACUGAAACCGAAACCGAAAACCAACGGAAAAUGAAACCGCAGGUGCAGCUGCCCGCUCAUGCACGACUGGUUCACUCCCGUGGCGCCAUCCUGGCUGAUGUGGCCGCUGGUGGCGGUGCCAGCGGUGCCGGCGGCAUCGCAGUCGUGGGCGACGGUGAGUAAGCAGGAUUCAAGCCGCAGGCGACCCACCGCAGGGAAGAAAAAUAUUACAGAAAAAACAAGACCCGUUUCGCUAUGUGUUCCCCUUUCCCCCCAUCUCUUUCUACACGUUCUUGCAUUCCGUUACAUAUCCACAUGCCCGCAAGGCUGGUUCGACACCCUAAAGACCCAACUACCCUAACCGCCUAACCACCAUGUGCUCCGGAACCAUGCCGUACAGGCACUGAGGCGUUUGAUUGUGCGGCUGCACUGGCGCUCCUGAGAGAGGGUCGGGAUGUGACGCUGGUUGAGCAACCGGUAAGUGCGGGGCCCCCGUGUGGGGCCCUGUCCCUGGCGCGUUACAGACGUGCGGCUUGGAGUGGGAAUCAAGUCCUGAGGAUCUCUGUCUGUAUGUAUGUGCGCAUGUGUUUUUUGUAUGUGUGUUUGUUUCCUGGAUACAUGGGGGGAAGAUAUGAUGAAGGUUAUGUAUUCCACCCGAUUCCACAACUCUUGUGUCGUACGAAGCACUGUACGACAGUCCGACAUGACAAUUAUUCAUGGCAUAGAUUAUCUCUCCGUUUGUGGUCGUUGUUAUGUAGUCCACCUGGCAAUUCUACGCCGAUGGAUUUCACACCGACGAUGUUACGCAACCUGGUGAUGCACCGUCGCACAGGUUGAAGGGUGUCUGCUCUCCGUUGUGGACGGCGUCUCACUUCUCGAGGGUGCCCGGCGCCGCGCACUUCACGCCGCACUUCAGCCGCACCCCUCCCUGCCGCCGCCGGGACCCGUGGGGCGAGUGCUGCGAGCUCCCACCAAGCGUCGCUUCUGGGCGUACGUCAAGGGACGAGCGGCGGCGGUCGUAUCACUCGGCAGCGGCGGCGGCGGUGGCGGCCGCGGCGGCGGCGGUGGCGGCCGCGGCGGCAGCUGCUCGCUGAGUACGGCAGGGGUCGGGGCUGGUGACGGGGCGGCUACUGCCGCCGGCGCCGUCACAGUCGCCGGUGCUGGCGCCCAGCUGGUAAACUGCCAGCUGGUGCUUUGGGCGCCCAGUUUUCGUGACCCACGGGUCAUGCCCUUCCUGGAGCCCUCCCUGCGCCAGGCACUGCUCCAGCGGGGAGAUUCCCACCAGCAGCAGCCACUGCCAAUCCCGGGGGAAGGGGGAGCGCCGCCGCCGCCGCCGCCAGCAAGCGACUUUUCCGAUCAGCUGGUGCUCUUCCGCGGCAUCGUACACCCCGACGUCCCUGGCCUGGGCUUUGUGGGCUGGCAGUCCCAUGCCUCCACUCCGCUGCUGGUCCUGGAGCUCCAGGCCCAGUGGCUGGUGGCCCUCCUCACCGCCCGAAUGAACCUGCCGACAGCCCAACACAUGCACGAGGACAUGGCGCGGCAGAGGGCCUGGCGAGCGGCCGCCCUGGUGUCGCCGCUCAUGUCGACCCGUGGGUCACUGGCUCGCACCCACGAGGGACAUUACGUAAGGCAACUGCUGGGCGAUUUGACGGGGCUCGUUGAGCUCAGGACGCGGUCAGCCCUUUCACCUCCGGCGGCGGCGGCGGCGGCCUGCACCGACGGGCUCUGGUCGGACCAAGUACUCGUACCUCUCCCGCAAGGUCAACGGGUGGGCCAUGGCAAAGGAGCCCCGUCGGUGUACGACACUAAUGCUAGGCAGCAGCAGCAGCAGUGUCCGCUGCCUGACCGUCUCUCCUGCGAUGGCACCGCCGCAGCCGCUGCCAGUGAGCGCGGGCUUGGGCCUCAGAGGGGCCCCUCGGAGUGGUCGCCGCCAGCUUCUCCGCCAACCUCUACCGCCGCCACCGCCUCCGCCUCGACUGCGUGUCGUACUUGGAACCAGUGGCCAGCGUCACGGGUGGUUUCAGAGGCGAACCGCGGCACGAAGCCUGGAAGCCCCAGCGGCGGCGUUGGCGGCUUCGGCAGUAGCAGUGACGCCGCCGCAGGCGCUGGUUGCCUCAACCCGAGCUGUAGCGGCGUCCUGGGUCAGCUAGGUUUGGCGGUGCGGCCCCAGCCUCCGUCCAUCGCCGUACAUGCCUCCGCCAACGAUACCGCAGCCGUCGCAGCCGAUAGGUCCACCGCACCGGAACUAGGUUACUCGACGGAGGCGGCGGCGGCGAUAGGCGCCGGCAGCUGCUCUCCUCGGAUCAGGCUGCCGCCGGGUCGACGUCACACUAUGUCAGUGUUGCCGUACAUUCACGGUGCCAGCGGCGCGGGAUGCAGCCGCGGCAGUGGCGGCAGCGGCGGCAGCGGCAGCGGCGGCGGCGUCACAGCUGGUUGUUCCAGCUGCGGUACGGCGUCGGCGCUCCUUGACCCAACUGGGAAUAAGCUUUCUACAAAGGGCCGUACGACAUCCCAGUACACCACUUUUGGCCAGUUCACCGAUCUGCUCGAAGUGCCGACGGCGGGCACCGAAGGUGCGGCUGCGGCCACCUCCGACAUGCAAGGCCUGGAUGGAAAAAGGCCCCCCUCAGGGCCGCUUGCGUGGGACAGAUGCUACAUCCCAGCAUCCUCGCCCCAGCCAGGCGGCCGCAGCAGCGGCGGCAUUGCCGCCGCCGCCGCCGCCGCUGCUGCCGCUGCCGCCAGCCGUGGACGUCAUAGCGCCGCCAGCCUCCCGUUGCUGAAGCUGCUGCCCCUGGGCCGGCUGGGACAAGCCAUCAGCAGCGGCGGCAGCGCCGCCGCCGCCGCCGCCGCCACCUCAGAUCAGUCGGCUGCUGCCGACCUGACAAACAGCCGCAGGCAUCAUCAUUAUCAGCAGCAACCGGGGCGACAGAGCGGCACCACCACCUCCACAACAGCAAACAGGAGGCGUACGGGGCCGCGGAGGUCUAUGUCCACAAGCGACGUGAUGUCUGCUCAGCGUAGCCGGGCCCUGCAGCAGGCCGCAUGGGGCUGCACUGCCGGCAGCGGCGGCAGCACCCCCGCCGCCGCCGUACCACCCACACCUGCCGAUCUAGAGCAUCAGUUGGCGGCUCUCCGUUGGCAUCUGCUCAAUCCAUCUGCCGUACCUUUCCCAGGACGCGCCGGUCCCCAAUCAGCACGUUUCGAUAAAUCUCUCCCUGCCGCCGCUACUGCCGUACAGCUACAACCGCACUCGACGGCUCUCACGAGUCUAAAAAUGCCGGAUAGUACGGAAAUUUUCCCGUCUGUCGCGCCGUCCACGGCUUCCGCCAGCGGCCUUGGCCCGCAUUCGCCGUUGCUGUACAUCAGCCCAUGUUCCGGAGUGGCGGAGGAGGGAGAGGAGAAAGCGCGUGGCGGUGACGGCGAUGGCGACGGCGACGGUGCGGAGGAGAGCAAGCACAGGCUCACGACAAUAGAGGAACGCCAACUUCAUGAUUCUGGUUCUGAAUCUGAGGAACAUAUAUGGCUUUCUCCGCCAGCCCCGGGUACGGCUGCCGUACAGGCGAGUACGAUAGGGGUCGCCUCAAGCUCAUCGCGACCGCCAACCGGGCUUUCCGCCGCGUCUGGAACCAGGAGGCGGCGGCUGCCGCCGCGGCGCAGCCAAACAACGUCCUGUCUGUACUCCGCGGCGGCGGUGGCGGCGGGGCCCACGGCGCUGCCGUUGCGCAGCAUGCCGUCACCUCCGCCAGCGGCGUCGGCGGCCGUGCAUUCACAGCGGCUCGCAACGCUCCACAGGGUCUCUGUAGGCGUCGCCGCUGACUUAGGGGAAAAGGCCUCGCCGACGGCGAAGGCUGCUCUCAUGGGCGCCGCCGCCACGACAGAGGCCUUCUUGGCACGAAUUUCUUCGCCGCGAAGCGUCGCCGGGAAAGGCAGCUUAGGGACUGCUGCUGGCGGCGGCGGCGGCGCUUCGCCAGUCCCCUUCAGCGGCAAUUGCAGCGCCGCCAGCAGCUUUGUGGACGCCGUCACAACGCUCUCCACGGCCAGCAGGCUUGCAAGGCCUCAAUUUGCCAAUGAGCAGCAACAACAGCAGUCGGCGGCGGCGGUGGCGGCGGCAGGAGCAGCGUUGCCGUCUGUGGCUGCUGACUGCAGCGGCGGCGGCGGCUGCAGCGGAAGUGAUGUUUCUAUGCAGGCCGGUCUGAGGUCCAAGCUCUUCGCAAAUGCGGCAGAGAAGCACAGCGGCAGCGGCGGCGGCAGCAGCCAAAAGGCCGUCAGCGCUCCUCGCAUCGUACCGCAAGCUUUGAGGGCUGGGUAUGGCGGCGGGGACGGUGGCGGCGGUGGUGGCGGUGGUGGAGACCGCCUCGGUAAAUCGUUUGGUGGCCUUCUCGGCGAUGCAGCGGAGGCGGCUCGGUUGCCGUACAGAGAGCGCAUUGACGACAUCGCACCAUUCCCGAUUCAGUACGACCCCUUCCUUCGGCCACGUCGCGGAAUGGCCGCGGAUGCCUCGCCUAGAUCACUUGGGACGCCGACGGCGACGGCAGCGGCAGCGGCAGCGGCGGCGCUUCCGCUACCGUUGAGCAGGCCGAACGGAUCAUCUCUAAUUUCCGGUACAGACUCUCCACGAUGCCAACUGGCUGAAGCUUUCUCUGCCACUGCCCCCGCCGUCACUGCCGCCGAUGUUUCGCGCACAAGCACCACCAAAGCAUCGCCACCCACAGCGGUAUCUGCCAACGCUCCAAACGCCGCCACCGACAGUGUACUGCGCAACUCCUUGUCCGCUUCAUCGCCCUUGCCGAUAGGGCCCCAGAUGUCAGUGGUGUAUAAUGCGCGUCUGCAAAGCACCGGCGGCAGCAGCGCCGCGGCCACCGCCACCACAGCGGCGGCUGCCGCUGCCGCCGCCGCCACGCCGCCACCCUCCACCGCCGCCAGCUGCCUCCGUACGCCUUUUCCCGAGCUGAAUGCUAAGGAAGCCUCCGUAGCUGCAACAGAUUCGACAGGAGCCGUUGGCGGCGGCGGCAGCUGCCGGCUGCCACCGCCACUGCCGCCACCGACGCCGCAGCCGAAAGUCCAAGGUGGCGACGCGGAGGUGGAGGCGGAGGAGGGUCCGUUCGACAUUGACAUCAUGCAAUCCCUUUGUGGAUCCGGUGACUCGUGCGCGCCGGAACCAUCGGCUGCUGGGGCGAGAGGGGCCUAUGGGCCGGCGCCAGUGCCUGCCCGUGGGUCCGAGGACGACGGCUUGUCUGGGAAUCGACGAACGAAUGGGUCGGCGCUGGUGCAGACCCACGGGUCCUUGUCUUCCGUGGACCAGAAGCUGUUGGAGGCAGUGGAGGCGCUUGCGGCUGCCGGUGCUGGCGGCGCUGGUACCGGAACCGGCGGCGAUGCGUCCGACGGCGGUAAUGCGCAGGCGAGGGGUGUGAUGAUCGGAACCGGCUUGGCGAGUGGCUUGCCCCGCGAUGAGCAUGGCACCGCCGCCGCCGCCGCCGCCGCCGUACCGGCGGAGCCUGACGACGGCCGGCCCGGUCCCGCAUGGGUAGUACGACGCGCGACCCAGGCACGUCAGGACCAAAUUGUCGGAGAGGUAGGUGUGUACGGCAUUACGGCGCGGGGUUGCAGAAUUCCGGAUAUUGAUGAUAAAAUAUGAGAUUUGAUUCUGAUUCAUCUUGUCGUAAUAGAGGCACCAACAGGAGGCAUGUUUUGAAAAAAUAAUAAUAUACUUUCACUUCGGUUCAUUGGUUUGCUCUUGCGACGCGAGAAAGAGAUUUUUCCUCCCUCGAGCCUUUCUCGCCCGUUACCCUCCUCUCUUCUCCCCGACGCUGCAUUUCCAAGUAUCGCCGCCGUACCGUUCCGGCCUCCCCUUUUUCCAGGCCUUAUCCCAUCAACCACCCUUUUCAUUCCUGCCGUCUCUUCUGCUACUACUACUGCUACUACUACAACAACAUAUCAUCAUAAUAAUAAAAUAUAAUGAUAUAAAUAGAUCAAAAAAUAGAUAAAGUUAUUAUAUAUUAUUUUAAUUAAUAUAUAUAAUUUAUUACAUAUAAUAUAACAAAAUCACAUUAAUAAAGCCCCAAUAAUAAAUCUCCCACCUCGCCACUCUCCCUAAG
rnacentral:lncRNA from 1 species